UUCGAAGAUGAAAUGGCACUGGGCUCCGACGGCGUCCGACAGACGACCGGUCUUGAUGGAUAUGCCUUUUUUGCGGCAGGCCUAGAAAACCUCGCCCACUGAGA
rfam:Aspergillus flavus NRRL3357 scf_1106286417600 genomic scaffold, whole genome shotgun sequence.